CCUGACGCAGCGACGCCGCGUGGGGGAUGACGGCCUUCGGGUUGUAAACCUCUUUCAGCAGGGACGAAGUUGACGUGUACCUGUAGAAGAAGCGCCGGCUAACUACGUGCCAGCAGCCGCGGUAAUACGUAGGGCGCAAGCGUUGUCCGGAAUUAUUGGGCGUAAAGAGCUCGUAGGUGGCUUGUCGCGUCUGCCGUGAAAGCCCAUGGCUUAACUGUGGGUCUGCGGUGGAUACGGGCUGGCUAGAGGUAGAUAGGGGCAAGCGGAAUUCCUGGUGUAGCGGUGAAAUGCGCAGAUAUCAGGAGGAACACCGGUGGCGAAGGCGGCUUGCUGGGCCUUACCUGACGCUGAGGAGCGAAAGCGUGGGGAGCGAACAGGAUUAGAUACCCUGGUAGUCCACGCUGUAAACGUUGGGCGCUAGGUGUGGGAUCCUUCCACGGGUUCCGUGCCGUAGCUAACGCAUUAAGCGCCCCGCCUGGGGAGUACGGCCGCAAG
rnacentral:rRNA from 1 species